ACCUGUAUGGUGUCUCUAGAGUUCAGUCCAUCUGGAAACCUGAGAGCGAGACUGAGGGUCGUGUCCUGCUCUUGAGCAAAAGUGAUUGCACUUCGUGUUCUCCGAAGCUGUGAACCAGUCUAUGGUUGGGCUCAUUGACAGGUUGAAGAGGGAAGCAAUAUAUUCCAUCUUGAGCUCCCAUUCGUGUUGCUCACUUGCCAAGAUAGCAACUCCCCUGAUGAUGGAACUGGAGAGGAGUUUAGUGUUGGUGGGUGGUUCUGUACCUCAAAGGUGCUUCUGUGCUUCCCCUGGCCUGAUACGUUGGGACCGGGUGUGUUUACCCUUACCCUGAUGGAGUUGUGUGUUGCCUGCUAGGUUUUGAUGAGGUGGUGCAAUCGAUCACCAGGGAGUUCAGUGCCAGAUGCUUCAAGAGAUUGUGAGCUGCUUUGGGAACCUAGGCUGCAGAAACAGG